rnacentral:lncRNA from 9 species
UUUUUUUUUUUUUUUUUUUUUUUAGGUCUGCACCUGCAGCAUAUGGAAGUCCCCAGGCUAGGAGUCAAAUUGGAGGUGCAGCUGCAGGCCUACACCACAGCAAUGCCAGAUCCAAGCUGCAUCUGUGACCUAUGAGGCAAGGCCAGGGAAUGAACCUGCAUCCUCAUGGACACCAUGUUGGGUUCUUUUUUUUUUUUUUUUGUCUUUUUGCUAUUUCUUUGGGCCGCUCCCGAGGCAUAUGGAGGUUCCCAGGCUAGGGGUUGAAUCGGAGCUGUAGCCACUGGCCUACGCCAGAGCCACAGCAACGCGGGAUCCGAGCAACGUCUGCAACCUACACCACAGCUCACGGCAACGCCGGAUCGUUAACCCACUGAGCAAGGGCAGGGACCGAACCCGCAACCUCAUGGUUCCUAGUCGGAUUCGUUAACCACUGUGCCACGACGGGAACUCCCAUGUUGGGUUCUUAACCCAGAGCCACAACAGGAACUCCAAGAUCUCUCUCUCUCUCUUUAUUUUUUUAUUUUUGCUUCUUAGGGCCACACCCACAGCAUAUAGAGGUUCCCAGGCUAGGGUUCCAAUCGGAGCUACAGCUGCCAGCCUAUGCCACAGCCAUAGCCACACCAGAUCUGAGCCGCGUCUGUGACCCACACCACAGCUCAUGGCAACACCAGAUCCUUAACCCAUUGGGCGAGGCCAGGGAUCAAACCCGCAACCUCAUGGUUCCUAGUCGGAUUCAUUUCCGCUGUGCCACAACGGGAACUCCCCUAUUUACUUUUUAUAUUUCUGAUGCUCUGACAUCUUGAGGCCUUGCCGACACUGAAGAGACUGCUCUUCCCAGGGCCAGCCAGUUCCUAGAGUAUUAAACAGAGUGGGAUCUUUACCUGCAAACCAACCAACCCAAGCUCAUGCACCACAAUAACAAAGGUGUGACAAUCGUAUCACUAGAGUUCAAGACUUAGUACCAUACAAUGUAUCUCUGGAGAAAGAAGAGACACACAGACUGAUGAAACAGAACAGAAAGCCCAGAAGCAGACUUGCCCCUGUGGCGUCACAGGAUUAGUGACACCACUGCAGCACCAGGAUGCAAGUUCAAUCCCUGGCCCAGCACAGUAGGUCAAAGCAUCAGUGUUGCCACAGCUGCUUAGAUCUGAUCCCUGGCCUCGGAACUCCAUCUGCUGCAGGACAGGGGAAAAAAAAAAAAGAAGAAGAAGAAGAAGAGAGAAAGAAAAAAAAGGCCAGAAAUAGACCCUACACAAAUAGAGUCAGCCAAUCUUUGACCACAGAGCAAAGGCAUCCUAUGGAGAAAAGAUUGUCUCUUUCAGCAAAAGUUCUGGAACCACUGGGUAUCCAUAUGCAAGAGAACAAAUGAACCUAGACACAAAUGUUACACAAAAAUUAACCUAAAUUGACCACUGACCAAAAUGCAAAAUGAUAAACCUUUUUGAAGAACACACAGGAAAAAAAUCUCUAUCUCUUUGGGUUUGGUGACGAGUUUUUAAAUACACCACCAAUGGUACAAUCCAUGAAAGAGAGAAAAACUAUAGUUUCAACAUGAUUGAAAUUUUAGGAGUUCCUGUCGUGGCUCAGCUGUUAACGACCACAGCUGGUAUCCACGGAGACACAGGUUCAAUCCCUGGCCUCGCUCAAGAAACUAGUUGGGUUCGUAACUGCUGAGCCAUGCCGGGAACUCCCAGAAGAUUUAAGUAAUAUAGGCGGACACCCCGCCCUCAGGGACAACUCCCCAUCCCCCAAGUGUGGGUGGCGCAGUGACCUCCUUCCAAAGAUGAUAGCAUGGAAGGGGCGGGGUGGGGGGAAGAGGGACCCCGGGAAGGAGAAUCCAGACAAACACUCCCCAGUGGCAUAAUCAAAGUCAACACCAGCAGGGAGGCGGCUCGGGGAGAGGGCCGAGAAGAAAUGGCACCUCACCCUGUGCUCUCCGUUGUCAGCCCACACCCCGAGUCGAAUCGUGAGAAAGACAUCGGGCAAAUCCCAGCUGAGCCAUGUUACACAGAACACCUGGCAGUGCUCUUCAAACUGCCAACAUCGUCAAGGAGCAACCUGUCCCAGCCAAGAGGAGCCAGAGGAGACGUGACCGCUGAGUCCGACAUGGUGGCCUUGAUGCGCUCUUGCAACAGAAAAAAGGCAUCAGGGGAAAAACGAGCAAGUCUAAAUAACAACAAAGCUUAUUUGAUUUAUUUUUGCUUUUUUGGUUGCACCUGAAGCACAUAGAAGGGUCCCAGGCCAGGGAUUGAAUCCGAGUGGCACCUGUGACUUACAGCACAGCUGCAGCAAUGCCAGAUCCUUAACUGACAGGGAUCAAACCUCCACAGAGACAAGCCGGUUCAUUAACCCACUGCACUACAGCGGGAACUCCCUAAACUUUAUUAAUUUUUUUAGGGCCACACCUGCGGCAUACGGGGGUUCCCAAGCUAGGGGUGGAAUCGGAGCUGCAGCUGCCGGCCUGCACCACAGCUCAUGGCAACGCCAGAUCCUUAACCCACUGAGCAAGGCCAGGGAUCAAACCCGCAACCGCAUGGUUCCUAGUCAGAUUCCUUAACCGCUGAGCUAUAAUGGGAACUCCCCUUAAAGUUUAUUUUUUAAAAAUACACAAAAGCAUAUAAACUGUAUGGGUCCACUUACAUGUAGUUCAAGAAUAGACAAAACGAAUCAAUGGUGUUAGUGGUUGGAAUAUUGUUACUUUGGGGGGGGAACAGGGAAGCCUGCUGGGGGGGCCACAAGUGGGGGUUCUACACCUGGACUGGAACAGUGGUUGUGAGGCAGAAUAUUAACUCAGGUAGAUCAGCACAGGAGCUGGGCUCCCAACAGGCUUUGACGUGGAUAUUGAUUAACACUUGCAGCUUAAGGGCUCCAGGGAGCAACACCUCCCCAGGCCUUGUUUUAUUAUAGGAAAUGCGCGCGUUCCCCAGACUUUGUUCACUGCAGGAAAUGCGACUCUCGAGCCCACUCCUCAACUGAUAAAAAGAAAUGAAAAGAAAAUGACCGAGAAACCAUAAAACUUACAGGACAUUUCCAACCCUAAGACCCCUAUUGGACAAGGACGGAUAUAGGUGAUGGAGCAAGGCCAACGGGAGAAGACCGCAUCUUUCCGGACCCCACGUUGGUACCCGCCCAUCUUUAAGGAAUAAAAGCCCCUAAAGGACAAUAGGGAAGGGGGCUCUUCUCCCCCCUCCCAGCAGCCCCGGGAGCUAUUUGCUUUCCUUUAAUAAAGACUUUGCCUGCUUGCUGCCCGUGUGUUUGCGGAGUUCAUUCUUCGACUGCGUGAACAAGAACCCGGAUUCCGGGAUCGUCUUUCCGGUAUCAGUUUACACAGGUGUCUACAGCGUGAAAAUUCUUGGAGCUGUUUUCCUCAAGUGUGUGCAGUCACCAUGUUACAUUUUACUUAAAAAGCGACCCCCAAAGUCAACAGCAACAGCAGCAAAACAGCUGCACCUCACCAUUUAGAAAAGCCUGGAGAAAUUUCUGAAAACCCCCAAUGAAGAGAAACAUCUCAAAAGCUUCCAGGAAGAGACAGAAAAGAAACCACUGGUGAAGGAGCAGGAGUCAGCCUGAGCGCAGGCUUCUCGACUGCACCGGGCAAGGAAGACGGGAGCGGGCUGCCAGGCCCACCACACUCUGCCACCUCGGUGUACCCCCAGCCCACCCUGUGCCCCCAGAGCAGGUCUGCCCACUCGGCUCCAGCUGAUCCCGCUGUCGCCCCACCCUCUCCCCACAUCCCCAAAUCUCUUACCUGACGCCUCCUUCAUCUCUCCCCAACCCCUCCCAGGCCAAGCCCAAGUGCAGGCUCCUCCCAGAGGCUUCAGGACCUGAGAGCCUGGGCAAGAGGCUCUGUCCUCCACCGUCUCUGCCAGGCACUGGUCACGCCCUGAGAGAGAAGCCUUGCGCUCUUUUUCAUUAAUCACUAAAGGGAUGUUGCCUAUAAGCGAGCGUAAAUUACACAUAAUGGACCAUGUCUGCGAACCCUGCUUCCCGGAAAUGAAUGUUAAGCUAAAGCACCUUUGUUCUGCUCACAGGGAACACCCUGACCCGGCCCACCUGUGAACUGCUGCAGCAGGAAGAACCAAACACAUCCUCCGAGCUCCCUUGUGGCACAGCGGAAACGAAUACAACUAGGAGCCAUGAGGUUGUGGGUUUGAUUCCUGGCCUCCAUCAGUGGGUUAAGGAUCCAGCAUUGCUGUGAGCUGUGGCGUGGGUCACAGAUGUGGCUCGGAUCCUGCAUGGCUGUGGCUGUGGAGUAGGGUGGCAGCUGUAGCUCUAAUCAGACUCCUAGCCUAGGAACCUCCAUAUGCCGUGGGUGUGGCCCUAAAAAGCAAAAAAAAAAAAAAAAGAAAGAAAGAAACAAACACAUCCUGGCCUGAACCCAGACUCCUCCUCUCCCGCCUCAGUGUAGACACAGGCUAAAUUCCAGCUCAGAGAAGACGCUUCUCAGGACACCCGUCGACCAUUUUCUCGGUCGGCUGGCUUUCUGAGUAAACUCCCUCUUUCUUCCCCAACAACACGUCUCUCGAUUUACCGGCCUGUCACGCCGUAACAACUGCCUCCACGAUCAGAUCACUGUCUUUCCCGUUCUGCCCCAGCGGCAGCACAGCCUCGAGACACAGACCCAGCUGGGAUGGCAGCUCUGCUGCUCACUGCUGGUGGGUGACCUUGGAUGAGCCAUCUCGCCCCCCGGGCCUGGGUUCCCACCCCUGUAAAGUGGAGACAGUUACUCUAAUUCCCAGGGUGGUUGUAAGCAGGAGCCUGUGUGAGCGGCACCCAAGAGCUCGCCUGGCACAUAGUAGGCCCUCAGUCAAGGACACUUGUCAGCUGGGAGAACUGGGCUGCUGACAGGAUUGGUGGAAGCCUCGGGGGCCCUUGGCCAGCCCCAGAGCACGUGUUAUUUAAUUCCUGACUCCUUUGAGUAAGUCAUUUUCAAAUAUAUGGCUUAAGGAGAAAAUUAAAGUCAACCGGAGAGAGAGUCCCAUUGUGGCUCUGCGGUAACAAAACUGACUAGUGUCCAUGAGGACGCGGGUUCAAUCCCUGGCCUCGCUCAGUGGGUUAAGGAUCUGGCGUUGCCAUGAGCUGUGGUGUAAGUUGCAGAUGCAGCUCAGAUCUGGCGUGGCUGUGGCUGUGGCUGUGGCUCUGGUGUAGGCCGGCAGCUGCAGCUCUGAUUUGACCCCAGCCUGGAAACCUCCAUAUGCUGCAAGUAUGGCCCUAAAAAACAAACAAACAAAAAAACCAACUGGAGAAACCCGCCCUGACUCGGCAGUGGGGAGCGUCUUAACCACACACAUGGACGCAAUCGGGUGUGAGUGGUGGAUGUUCAGAGCAUGGGAGGUGGGGUCAGCCCCAUGGGCAGGAGCCAACUCCGAGCCAGAAGUCAGACCCUUCUCCAGACGACACCAGCACCUCUCUUGGGCCAACAGUCAGCAGGGCGCCCCUCUCCCAUUUGGCGGUGGAGGCGUCAGAGGCUCAGCAGGACGGGAGGCCAGAGUUCCAGCCCCUGGCCUAUCUGGCUUGCUCCAUGGGACUGGGGCUUCCAAUUCAAAGUUCUGGAAGGUUCUAGGUCUCCAGGGCCCAAUCCCCAGCCCAGGCCCGGUGUGAGAGUGUGGUAGCCAUGCACAGGGGCUGGCACAUGGCAAGCUCC